rnacentral:rRNA from 1 species
AGAGUUUGAUCCUGGCUCAGAAUCAACGCUGGCGGCGUGCCUAACACAUGCAAGUCGAACGAGAAAGUCGUCUUCGGAUGACGAGUAAAGUGGCAAACGGGUGAGUAACGCGUGGGACAUCUACCCUGAUGAGGGGAAUAACUCUCCGAAAGGAGAGCUAAUACCGCAUAUUCCGGUUUACCGGGAAAGGCCUUCGGGUCGCAUCAGGAGGAGCCCGCGUCCGAUUAGCUAGUUGGUGAGGUAAUGGCUCACCAAGGCGACGAUCGGUAGCCGGUCUGAGAGGACGGACGGCCACACUGGGACUGGGACACGGCCCAGACUCCUACGGGAGGCAGCAGUGGGGAAUUUUGGGCAAUGGGCGAAAGCCUGACCCAGCAACGCCGCGUGGAGGAAGAAGGUUUUCGGAUCGUAAACUCCUGUCCCAUGAGACGAAAAAAAUGACGGUAUCAUGGGAGGAAGCCCCGGCUAACUCCGUGCCAGCAGCCGCGGUAAUACGGGGGGGGCAAGCGUUGUUCGGAAUUACUGGGCGUAAAGGGCGCGUAGGCGGCUUCGGAAGUCAAGGGUGAAAGCCCCGAGCUCAACUCGGGAACUGCCUUUGAAACUACGGAGCUAGAGUGUUGGAGAGGAAAGCGGAAUUUCCAGUGUAGCGGUGAAAUGCGUAGAUAUUGGAAGGAACAUCUGAGGCGAAGGCGGCUUUCUGGACACACACUGACGCUGAGGCGCGAAAGCUAGGGGAGCGAACGGGAUUAGAUACCCCGGUAGUCCUAGCUGUAAACGAUGAACACUUGGUGUGGGGGGUAUAAAGUCCCUCCGUGCCGUAGAUAACUCGAUAAGUGUUCCGCCUGGGGAGUACGGCCGCAAGGCUGAAACUCAAAGGAAUUGACGGGGGCCCGCACAAGCGGUGGAGCAUGUGGUUUAAUUCGACGCAACGCGAAGAACCUUACCGGGGUUUGAACUGUACCUGCGACAUCCAGAGAUGGAUGGUUUCCUUAGGGAACUGGUAUAGAGGUGCUGCAUGGCUGUCGUCAGCUCGUGUCGUGAGAUGUUGGGUUAAGUCCCGCAACGAGCGCAACCCUUGUCUGUAGUUGCCAUCAGGUUAAGCUGGGCACUCUACGGAGACUGUCGGCGAUAAGCCGGAGGAAGGUGGGGAUGACGUCAAGUCCUCAUGGCCUUUAUGUCCCGGGCUACACACGUGCUACAAUGGAUGGAACAGAGGGCUGCAAGCCUGCGAAGGCAAGCGAAUCCCAAAAAUCCAUUCUCAGUUCGGAUUGCAGUCUGCAACUCGACUGCAUGAAGUUGGAAUCGCUAGUAAUCGCGGAUCAGAACGCCGCGGUGAAUACGUUCCCGGGCCUUGUACACACCGCCCGUCACAUCACGAAAGUGGGCUGUACUAGAAGCCGCUGGCCCAACCUCUUCGGAGGAGGGAGGCGUCGACGGUAUGGUUCAUGAUUGGGGUGAAGUCGAAACAAGGUA